rnacentral:rRNA from 1 species
AUUGAACGCUGGCGGCAGGCCUAACACAUGCAAGUCGAGCGGCAGCGGAAAGUAGCUUGCUACUUUGCCGGCGAGCGGCGGACGGGUGAGUAAUGUCUGGGAAACUGCCUGAUGGAGGGGGAUAACUACUGGAAACGGUAGCUAAUACCGCAUAACGUCGCAAGACCAAAGAGGGGGACCUUCGGGCCUCUUGCCAUCAGAUGUGCCCAGAUGGGAUUAGCUAGUAGGUGGGGUAACGGCCCACCUAGGCGACGAUCCCUAGCUGGUCUGAGAGGAUGACCAGCCACACUGGAACUGAGACACGGUCCAGACUCCUACGGGAGGCAGCAGUGGGGAAUAUUGCACAAUGGGCGCAAGCCUGAUGCAGCCAUGCCGCGUGUAUGAAGAAGGCCUUCGGGUUGUAAAGUACUUUCAGCGGGGAGGAAGGCGUUGAGGUUAAUAACCUCAGCGAUUGACGUUACCCGCAGAAGAAGCACCGGCUAACUCCGUGCCAGCAGCCGCGGUAAUACGGAGGGUGCAAGCGUUAAUCGGAAUUACUGGGCGUAAAGCGCACGCAGGCGGUCUGUCAAGUCGGAUGUGAAAUCCCCGGGCUCAACCUGGGAACUGCAUUCGAAACUGGCAGGCUAGAGUCUUGUAGAGGGGGGUAGAAUUCCAGGUGUAGCGGUGAAAUGCGUAGAGAUCUGGAGGAAUACCGGUGGCGAAGGCGGCCCCCUGGACAAAGACUGACGCUCAGGUGCGAAAGCGUGGGGAGCAAACAAG